rnacentral:rRNA from 1 species
CCUGAUGACCAUAGCAAAUCGGUCCCACCCCUUCCCAUCCCGAACAGGACCGUGAAACGAUUUUGCGCCGAUGAUAGUGCUGCAACCAGNU